CUCCGGGCGGUGCCCCCCGCGUGUUCCCGCUGUCCCCCUGCGGCCCCCAACCCCUUUUCUCGGUGGGCUGCCUGGCUGUCGGGGGGACCCCCCCGGCCCCGCUGCGCUGGCGCUGGAGCGACGGGCAGAACCGCACGCUGGGCGGGGCUAAUUCCGGAGUGGGCGUGGCCAGCGGGGUGGGCGUGGCCUCCAGAGACUCCGCCCUGCUGUUCCUGGCCGCUUCCCGCCUGGAGGCGCCGCUGGAGGAAGGGAAAUCCAGGAUGCCCUUCUGGUGCCGGGCGGAGAAUCCCAAGGGCGGAGCCGCCACUCAAGUGACCAAUCCCGGCCCCUCCUCCUCCCUGCCGCCGCUGCUCACCCUCCACCCGCCGUCCCGCGAGGACUUCCAGGGCCCCUUCCGGAACUCCACCCUGCUGUGCCAGGCCCGCGCCCCACGUCGGUCGCCAAUCAGCUGGUUCCGCAACGGCGACCCCCUGGGGGCCGGCGCCGCCUCCGAGGCCGCCGGGGCCGAGGGCUCGGGCGUGGUGGUCACCAGCAGCCGCCUGGGCGUCACCGAGGCCGAGUGGGAGCGCGGCGACACCUUCACCUGCCUGGCGGGCGGCGAGAGCCGCAACACCAACGACCAGGCGGGCGGGGCGGGCGGCACCGAGGUGCAGGUGGAGACGGCGCCGCCGCUCUUCGCCGACGUCUUCGAGGACAAGGCGGCCAAGCUGACGUGCCGGGUGGCCAACCUGGCGGGCCCCGAGGGGCUGGAGGUGACGUGGCUGCGGGAGGACGGCGAGGCCCUGCCCACCAAGGUGGGGCCGCCGGCCCUGCAGCCCAACGGGCUCUUCGGCGCCGCCGCCGUGGCCUCGGUGAGCGCCGAGGACUGGGAGUCGGGCCGGCCCUUCACCUGCCGGGUGGUGCACCCCGACCUGCUCUUCCCCAGGGAGGUGGCCCUGAAGAAGGAGGCCGUUCCCGACGCCAGCCCCCCGACCCUGUACCUGCUGCCCCCUCCCCCCGACCAGCUCCGGUUGCAGCGCUCGGCCACCCUCACCUGCCUCGCCCUCUCCUUCAACCCCCCCGACCUGCUGCUGCGCUGGCUCCGCGACGGCGAGCCCCUCCCCCCCGGCGCCGCCCUCACCUUCCCGCCCCGCCCCGAGCCCCGCCCGGGCCGCGCCGCCUUCAGCCUCCUCAGCGCCCUCACCGUGCCCGCCCACGACUGGCACCGCGGCGUCGCCUUCACCUGCCUGGUGGGCCACGAGCGCCUCCCGCUGCGCCUGGCCCAGCGCACCCUGGACCGCAGCUCCGUGGCGUCGGGCGGGGCGUGGUGGGACGAGAGCGAAGACCUGCAGGACCUCUGGGCCACGGCCUCCACCUUCAUCGUCCUCUUCAUCCUCAGCCUCUUCUACGGCGCCACCGUCACCCUCAUCAAGGAGGGUGACCCCGGCCCCGUAGCAGAGGACGUAGCUGAGGACGAAGAGGAGGGCGAAGGUCACGGUGGGCCAAAGGUCGGCCCCGCCCUCGUCCGGCGCUUCCGGCGGCGCCGCCGGCGACGUCACCAAAACGCAACUCACCGAACCUGGAGGGGAAGGGGAGGAAAAAAUGGGGCAUUUUUGGUCAAAGUGGUGAUUUUUAGCCACUGA